ensembl:lncRNA
AGCGCCACCAACUGGCAGCAGGAAGUGUGUAAUUUUCAAAAUGCUUUGAAUUCAGCAUCUUAUUUUUACUCAAUUUGCUUCAAACUUCAUCAGAAUAAUGACAAAACACGGCCCAUGUAAAACUGUUGAGGGGAUAUUGAUAUCUAAUAUAGUGUUGCCAUGGCAACAUAUCAAACUGGAAUAUUUUUCUGUAUAAUAUAUUCUGAUUUUGAGGCAGAUAACAUGCUUAGAAUUUCAUGAAACUCAGAACACAUAUCAGUAUUAAUGAUAGCUAGACACUGGCAAAAGGUCAUAAAAGGGUGUGGAGGAGGCACUCUAUAGCGCCACCUUUUGUCAAAAGUGGGGGGCUUAGUUUUAGCUACAGACACCAAACUCGGUACAUAUAUUGUUCUUAUUAAGACGGACAACUUUCUAAUUUACAGUCAUUAGCUACGACCAACAGGAAGUCGGCUAUUUUUGAUUUGAAUAUGGAUUUUUUUGGCUCUGUGUGAGGAAUGUAUGUGUGCUGAGACUUUCAUUGUCUGAGAGAAAAUGCGCCUCUACAGGAGCAAUUCCCGGGACUGAGAGGGAGGAGUCUCGCUUAGUUUCACUUUUAAAUCGGUUAAAAAUACAACUAAAUAAAUCAAUUUAAUUCACACUGACAAGCUAAACCAACAUAUCUUAUUAUUAGCGGGUCAGGGCUUAUUAAUAAUUGAUGUCUGGCGACAGAGAACAGAGAGAUAGACGAGAGAUAUGUCACCGCUCCGAACAGCGCGUGCAGUCUCAACGAGCUCACAACAAACGAGUUUAUUCUUGUUUAAGACCUUUUAAAAUAAAAUAUUACAGCGAUUGCACACAAUCCGCCAAUUAGAACACACCAAGAGCUAAAUUCAGAUGUUUGUGAGUGUUAAAAUGAAAUAUUUGCUGCAGCCUGUCUGACAGCGCGAGACUUCUGAACACUUGAAGGGAAAAAAGUCUACAUACAGAAACUACAGCCUUUUACAUUAAAACACAGCGGCGAAUUAACACAAAACAAUUAGAAGAACAUAUUAUAGAGAUGAAAAUGAGUGUUUAUGAGUGCUUGUGAGAUUUUCUUUGUCUAAAGGCUGAACAUCACAUCGAUUGCUCUGCGCUCCAGAACAUGGUGAUGGUUUUUCGGCGAGAACGGACAAAUAAAUACACGUUUCAUUCACACUGACAAGCUGAACCAACAUAUGUUAUUAUUACCGGCUCAGAUCUCAUUAAUAAUUGAUGUCUGGCCAGAACAGUGAGAAAGACCAGAGAGAAAUUUACCGCUGCAUCAGCGCGUGCAGUCAUACAACGAGCUCACAAUAAACGCAUUUUUAUAGUUUUAAGAGCUUUUUAAAACAAAAUAUUACCGUGAAUGCACACAAUCCACCCAUUAGAACACAACAAGAGCUGAAUUCAGGUGUUUUUGAGCUGUUUAAUUGUGAAAAGAAAUACUAUUUGACAGCGCGAGACAGUCUAAGGGCAGAAUAACAUCGUUCUCUCGAGCUCUAGAGGACGCUGAUUCUGGCUUUUUGUCGCAAGAACGAACAAAUCAAGUACAAGAUUAUUUCAAAAUGCAUAAUAGCUUGGCGAAUAUAAACGAAAACAGCCACGUGAAUAUAAACUGUUGAGUAAUAAAUCUGAAGUGGAUCAUGAUACUGGAUUUGAAUAUUAAAGUGACUGCAUUUACCAGCUGCUUUCUGUCUUCAGUUUUAAUCUAAUAAAAAACAGAAAAUCAUUCGUCUUGGCUGCUUUUUUUUUUUUUUUUUGUAUGUGUGUGUAUGUAUUAAUGUAUUUAUUAUUAUUAUUAUUAUUAUUAUUAUUAUUAUUAUUAUUAUUAUUAUUAUUAUUAUUAUUUUGCUCUAACAAAAAUUUAUCUAUAUUUAACUAAAUCGAUGACGUUAUUUUACAUUUGAUUUGUCCAUUUCUGCAUCCAAACACCUAUAAACUUAAAACAUGCACUAUUAAACUAUUGUUAGCAAUUUCUUUAUCGUCCAAUUUAACUGGUGUACACACUUUUAUUUUCAUAAAAAAAAAUUGUUUUUUUCGAUUAUAGACAGUUACCGUGGUCUAUAAUAAAUAUUAACAGGUUUUGUUCAAGCUGCUUAAAAUGUUUGAAGUAGGCUAAUUUUUUUAAAUGUAAAUCCUAAAAAAAAUUAAAUAAAUAAAAAUAAAUAAAACAAACAAAACAAAAAAUUUUUUUGCAACUCAUAGUAAUCAUUCAACACUGCUUAAAAAUGUAAAUUGAAAAUUAAACUCAUGAUUAAGCAUGAAAUAAGAUACAGAAUCAGUAAAUUCGAUUUUAAUGUGGGUAUAUUAUCAGUAAACUAAUCAUUAAAUAUUUAUAAUCGUUCAAAAAAUAUUGGCCCC